GACGAACGCUGGCGGCGUGCUUAACACAUGCAAGUCGUACGGUAAGGCCCUUUCGGGGGUGCUCGCGUGGCGCACGGGUGAGUAACACGUGAGUAACCUGCCCACAACUUUGGGAUAACGCUAGGAAACUGGUGCUAAUACUGGAUAUGUGCCCCUGCUGCAUGGUGGGGGUUGGAAAGGUCCGGCGGUUGUGGAUGGACUCGCGGCCUAUCAGCUUGUUGGUGGGGUAGUGGCCUACCAAGGCGGCGACGGGUAGCCGGCCUGAGAGGGUGACCGGCCACAUUGGGACCGAGAGACGGCCCAGACGCCGACGGGAGGAAGCAGGGGGGAAGAUUGCACAAGGGGCGCAAGCCGGAUGCAGCAACGCCGCGGGCUGGAGGACGGCCUUCUGGUUGGAAACCGCGUUCAGCAGGGACGAAGCGGUUUGUGACGGUACCUGCAGAAGAAGCACCGGCUAACUACGUG
rnacentral:rRNA from 1 species